UCCCUCAUGGUCCAGUGGUUAGGACUCUGUGCUCCUAAUACCAAGGGCCCAGGUUUGAUCCCUGAUUAGGGAA
rnacentral:tRNA from 1 species